rnacentral:lncRNA from 1 species
CAGGAUUGUAAAGAUAACUGUUUUUCUCCUGUUUGAUCUAAAUAUGAAAGUUCCUCUAAGUAAGCUGACAGUUUCUAUAUUGUGUUACAAUGAUGCAAUAUGUUUUUUACCCACAGUACAGAAUUUCUAAGAGGAGUAAGAAAUAUUUCGAACAUAAAAAGCGUCUUUUUUACUUGCAUCAUAUCUAUCAUCUUGCCUUUCUUAAUAUGGCGUCAUCCAAGAGACGGCUAGAGCAAAACAACCAGUUUGCAGAUGUUGAAAAUGAGUGCAGUGUCCAUGAUCUGAUGAUUUACUUAUUUCCAAGUGAACAUAAAUCACCAUGUGCCACUAAGAGAGAGACGGAGGGAAAUGUAUUUCCAGGCUUGGCAGGAAGGAAACAGCAGGAACAGCAUUGCAAGAGAUCCUCUAAAGCACGCACGCUUUUCAAAGAAAUGAGAAAUGAAGAUAACGGAGCCAUUGAAAUGUGAUGCAGAAGUGCCAAGAAAGAUUCCUGGGACACAUGCAGCUCGCAUGCAGUUAUGACACAUUGGUGUUUAAGCUGUUUGUAUAGAAUUAAGGACUUUCCUGUCAUAACAUGUUUAACACAUUUUUAGAGGUAAUAAGCAUAUUUAUAUCUGUGCAGCAAAGCAAGCGGA